AGCAGUCGCCACGGUAAUACGAGGGGGGCAAGCGUUGUUCGGAUUCAUUGGGCGUAAAGGGUGCGUAGGCGGUUUGGCAAGUCUCGUGUGAAAUCUAUGGGCUCAACCCAUAGCCUGCACGAGAAACUACCGGGCUUGAGUAUUGGAGAGGUGAGUGGAAUUUCCGGUGUAGCGGUGAAAUGCGUAGAUAUCAGGAGGAACACCGGUGGCGAAGGCGGGUCUCUGGGCCGAUAUUGACGCUGAGGAGCGAAAGCGUGGGGAGCGAACAGGAUUAGAUACCCCCGUAGUCCCUGUCUCUUAUAC
rnacentral:rRNA from 1 species